UGAAACUCUCACAUCAUGCCAAUUAUGUCCUCAAAGUCCAGUAGCUUCUGCAACCUUCCUGAUGAAUAUUUUAAGAAAUUCUCCACAUGGAGCACCGACUAUUCUCACCAUAUUUGAGGAAAUGGUCAGAUAUUGAAAAAGUAACUGGAUGAAGGAUGCAGACUGGACUAGGGGAACUGAGAAUAAGAAGUUGGUGUCUACAGGAUGUGGAGGGGAAGCAUGUGCAUCUUGGAGCCAGCCUGUCCACGCUCACGCCAUGCACCUGGUGUUUACUGACUGUGGGCUCUUCUGCAGGUAACUCAGUCUUCCUAUGCCUCAACUCCCUCAUCUGUCUAAUGGGAAUAAUCGUAGCACCUACCUUUAAGAGCUGUGCUGAGUAAUUAAUGAGUAGACACACUUGGAGUUCUUAAACAAAGCCUAUCACAUGGUAAGGUUUACAUUGUGUGAUUUUAUUUUCUGGAGGGAAAGAGAAGAGAGAAGAGAGAGAGAGACAAUAAGUAUUUGCACAAAUCAGUGUAACAGUGUUUACGUGCUCUGGGAUAACCCAAGUGUAGUGAAAAGAUACCCCAGAGGUUUGGGUGGCUAACUCCCAUGGCUGCCCAGUAGGCCUGCAGAGGUGACCCACGCUCUGGAAUAAAGAACAGGAUGGGACACUCGUGGAUCUCA
rnacentral:lncRNA from 12 species